rnacentral:rRNA from 1 species
AUUGAACGCUAGCGGCAUGCUUUACACAUGCAAGUCGGACGAGUGGCGGACGGGUGAGUAACGUAUCGGAACGUGCCCAGUAGUGGGGGAUAACUACCCGAAAGAGCGGCUAAUACCGCAUAUUAUUGGAGCGGCCGAUGUCUGAUUAGCUGGUUGGUGGGGUAAAGGCUCACCAAGGCGACGAUCAGUAGCGGGUUUGAGAGGACGACCAGCCACACUGGGACUGAGACACGGCCCAGACUCCUACGGGAGGCAGCAGUGGGGAAUUUUGGACAAUGGGGGCAACCCUGAUCCAGCCAUGCCGCGUGUAUGAUGAAGGCCUUCGGGUUGUAAAGUACUUUCAGUCGGGAGGCGGUACCGAAAGAAGAAGCACCGGCUAACUCCGUGCCAGCAGCCGCGGUAAUAC